GGCAGAAUCCCAGGGGAGGUGAGUUCCUUCUCUUUCUCCUCCUCUCUCUCUGUUCAAUGCUUCAGCAACUGGGCUCCAGCGUCUCUAGCCUUCUCCAACUCUGAAAGACGGAUGCCAUGCGUCGACUCUUACUCCACUACAGAACAGAAGCUGUUUGGUUGAUGCUGCGAGACCUGCUGAGCUUUUCCAGCGAUUUCUGUUUCCGCUUCGGUCAACAAUAUUGCUGUGGGCCUGGAGUCACAUGGAGGCCUGAUCAGGUGGUAUGGUGGAUUUGAACUCAUGCCCAGCUUGGGCCUGAGAGAAAGGAGGCUGUAACAGGCUGAUUUAAUGUGAGUCGAAGGAUGUUUGUGUGGACAAGAAAGGCUAGUACAGGAGAACUCCCACCCCAAGUGCAUUUUGGGUCAACCUACAGCACAUGGACUACAGCGGAUCAAGAAGGCAGCUCACCACCACCUUCUCAAGGGGCAACUAGGGACGGGGCAAUAAAUGUUGACUCAGUCAGCGAUGCCCACAUCAUGAAGAUGAAUUUUUAAAAAAGCAUUUGGUAGGGCCUAUCCCA